GUGAUUUAAAAGAAAUCGUGUGAGUGCAGAUCGUUCGUCUAACCGGACAGACGAGCCAGUAGUAAACACGUACGAGACUUUAAUGUUUUAAUAUUUUUGGACAUAUUAUAGCUUAUUUUCACUGCUGUAGUGAAAGUAUCUAUUUUCUGGACGUUUCAACAGCGGAGGUUUUGUCGACAGGAUGUUUAUUCACAUAUAGACUUUUGAGGUUUUUUUUGCUGUUCACUCGUAAACGGUUUUGUUGAAGAGUAAUGCUGUAACUACCAUUUAAACCGAACUCGGCGCUGCUUUUAACGAAAAAAGGAUUUUGUACGUUAAAUGAUUUUCCUUAAAAGUUUUGCGAUGGAGUUCACAGAUGAGGAGAAAAUAUGGCUGCAAAGAGUGUCCUCUGAAGUACCUGAAGGAGAUGAACUCACUCCAAAGGAGAAGCAAUUACACGAGAAAGCAAAGCCAGAGACUGAAUAUCAGGCCCAGCUCUUCCAAGCUAUGGCCUCCGCACGAUUUGGAUUGAAUGAUCCAGUAACCUUAACAAUAGAGGUGAAAAACUCUGAAAAACUCCAGCAGAGGAGCAGCGUCUUAUCACAAUGUGGAUAAUCUCCAAACACCAAGAAGACGACACGUUUACCUUUUCUUUUUGAUAUGAAACUAAAUAUACAGAAUAAACUAGCCUAAAACAAAAUCAUCCGUACAUAAAUGUGAUGUCAGUUGACUUUGGCACUUUGUAAUUAAUCACAAGAAUACAAGUUUAUCUUUUGCAUGUUUUCACCACGGUAUCUUACUGCAUUAAUGAUUUAUUAGUGCAUGUCAGGUUCAGAUUACAGCUACAACGGACAAUGUAGCAGCAUCAAAAUGCUCAUGAAAUGUUUCCUCAGCUAUAAACAACAGGACGCUAUACAAAGUUGACUUUGAGAAAAUAUGCUAUUGCUUUUUGCAUGCUCUUUUAAUGUUGUACGAUCUAUGAAAUCAUAAGAAAACAGGGAAUCAAGUACCCAGAUAGCACAUGUUUGUCUGCAAGAUGUCUGUUAAAGAUCUCUUGAUCUGGAAAGCAUCUGCUGUGUACAAACAUCUGGCAGACGUCUGUAAGAUGUCAGUUUUACAAACAUUCUAAAUCAUAAACAUCUUAAAGACAUCUAAUAGACGUUUAUUUGACAUCUGAUAGGAAACAUCCAAUAGACAUACUGCAGAUGAGCAAACUACAUCUUGCAAAUGUAAAUGCAGACGUCAAAUAGACGUCUCCGAGAUGUAUGUGUGCUAUCAGGGUAGUUGUUGUUGUUGUUUUUUUUUAAAUGUCGUUGGUGCAAAAGUCAUUGGUGCUUUUUUACAGAUACAUGCUAAUGCUGAGUAAAGGUUCUUCAAAGACCCAGUAUACGUUGGUGUUUAUCAUGUUUGCAGGGAUGAAAACAUCUCUACCUCAUUGUGCGUACAAUAACAAACAGUACAAUAUUUUUUUGCACACAUGUACAAUAAUUCAUACAACGAUAUUUGGACAGUAGUAGAGUUCUAAUUUUCAGAUGUUGGUUUCAAUACUGUGUAUUUUUAUGAUUUCUAUCCGUGACGCACACAAAGCUUAUGAAAUGUUAUUUCCGAAAUGCAUUCCACUGUUUUCACAUUUAAUGUUUUAAAUGGGUUUUUACUGUACUUUAUAAUGAAUAAAAUAACAAUGAAUCAA